rnacentral:rRNA from 1 species
GUAACGCGUGGGUAACCUGCCUUGUACUGGGGGACAACAGUUGGAAACGACUGCUAAUACCGCAUAAGCGCACGGAUUCGCAUGAAUCAGUGUGAAAAACUCAGGUGGUACAAGAUGGACCCGCGUCUGAUUAGCCAGUUGGUGAGGUAACGGCUCACCAAAGCAAUGAUCAGUAGCCGGCCUGAGAGGGUGAACGGCCACAUUGGGACUGAGACACGGCCCAAACUCCUACGGGAGGCAGCAGUGGGGAAUAUUGCACAAUGGGGGAAACCCUGAUGCAGCGACGCCGCGUGAGUGAAGAAGUAUUUCGGUAUGUAAAGCUCUAUCAGCAGGGAAGAAAAUGACGGUACCUGACUAAGGAGCCCCGGCUAACUACGUGCCAGCAGCCGCGGUAAUACGUAGGGGGCAAGCGUUAUCCGGAUUUACUGGGUGUAAAGGGAGCGUAGACGGCGAGGCAAGUCUGAUGUGAAAGCCCGGGGCUCAACCCCGGAACUGCAUUGGAAACUGUUUUGCUAGAGUACUGGAGAGGUAAGCGGAAUUCCUGGUGUAGCGGUGAAAUGCGUAGAUAUCAGGAGGAACACCGGAGGCGAAGGCGGCUUACUGGACAGAUACUGACGUUGAGGCUCGAA